GACGAACCUCGCGAACGAUGUACGGAAUCACUGGGCUUAAAGGGCGCGUGGGCGGGUUGUCAAGUCCGGGGUGAAAUCCUCCAGCUCAACUGGAGAACUGCCUCGGAUACUGACGGUCUCGAGGGAGGUAGGGGCACGCGGAACUGUGGGUGGAGCGGUGAAAUGCGUUGAUAUCCAUAGGAACUCCGGUGGCGAAGGCGGCGUGCUGGACCUUUUCUGACGCUGAGGCGCGAAAGCCAGGGGAGCAAACGGG
rnacentral:rRNA from 1 species